rnacentral:lncRNA from 1 species
GAGUUUCUUGUCAUGUUCCACCUAACGUGGGACCGCACUGAGUUGUCUUGGGGCCAACAAAGGUGGUGGAGAACGGAGCGGAGCGCAGGUUGCCUCGGGGAUGGGAAGGAUACAAAGAAAGCAAGGUAGAAAAGGACGUCAUAGAUGACACCCCGGGACCAAACGCUCCUCUGUCUUCCCUCCACAGUGGACAAGGCUGGGUGUGGCUCUCCCCACCAGCUCCUUCUGUCAGGGGUAAAACAGAAACCUAGCCAGAUUCACAAUUGCCUGAAGAGCUGUGAUCCAAGUUAAAUAUGAGUGUGAAGAUGACUGUAAUGAGCAGAGGAGAAAUGCUUUUUAGACAUGUAAAAGUAGCUUAGUUGGGAUCCCCACUAAAAAAGCUGCA